GGCCAAAUAUAUCCUCACCAUUAAUAAAAUUGUCAUCUAUACCCCUAAAAUAACCAAAUCAAUUAAAAUUAUUAAUUUUUUUUUUAAAAAAGAAAACACCCACCCAAUUUAACCCGAUCCGACCCGAUCCAUCAGACUUACAACCCAAACAACCUCCCUAUGCAAUUGUGCUCUGGCUGUUCCUCUCCCUCUUCCUCCUAAUUCCGGUCCUUCAGCUUUCUCCUCCUCUCCACUUUCUAGCCUUUACAUUUCUUUAAAUUUGAAAUUCGAACGCGUCCAUUGCAUCGGGCUGUGGUAGAUUAAGCACCAUCCAUACUUUCUUCGAUUUCUCACGGUGGAUGAGAACUGGAAAUUAUUUCAGAAGAAAGUAUUUCAAGGCGAGAUUUGUCCAUCGGAGCUACUCGGAGCAGGAUUACGAGUUGCUAAAAGCUGCAAGGGAUUACCUCUUGUUAUCGUUUUGACUGCAAGGGAUUUAAGUUCCCGUGUUUUAGAAGAGCAAAGCACGAAGAUUAUAGAAUCAAGUUAUAACUUUUUGGAAGACCAUUUAAAGUCUUGCCUUCUUUACAUGGGAUUGUUUUGAGAAGACUACAAAUUUCCAGUGUUUAAUUUGCUAAAGUUGUGGAUAGCUGAAGAUUUUGUACACGGCAUGGGUUUAGAGAACAUGGACAUGCAUCGAAAACUUGCUUGAACGAUCUGGUGAACAGAAGCCUAGUAAUUGUUUCUGAAAGGAGAGAAGAUAAUGGUGAGAUAAUAUACUGCACCGUUCAUGAUAUUGUGCGUGAGUUUUGCUUGAGAAAACUUCCAAAAGAGCACAAUUGCAUUGGAAGGUUGUUUGGGUUGUAAGUUAGGUGGGUCGGGUCGAAGUGGGUUAAAUUGGGUUGGGUGCUUGUUUUUUUUCAAAAUUGAAUAAGUCUAGUUGAUUUGGGGCUUUCCAUCAAUUUUAGGGGUAUAGAUGACAACUUUGUUAACGGCGAGGGUAUAUAGUACGAUGGAAGGUGAAGUUGGCCGAUUUUUUAAAGUUGAGGGCUGAUGAAGGAGGGUAAAGUUGGCCAAUUUUUGUAAAGUUAAGGGGUAUUUUUGACCCUUUGCCCUUUUUUAUUUCCAGAUUUUUGUGUUACCUCAAUAUUGAGGUGGGGUGGGGUUACUUUUCAAUUUUGUCCCAGUUGAAGCCUAUGACGGACAAAUACAGUGUUGAAGCUGCAGAAAUUCUUGCCAACGAGGCAGUGCGCUUGCCAAUUUCUGAAGCAGUGCCUAUAUAUGAACAACUUCUAUCCACAUUCCCCACAUCAGCAAAAUACUGGAAACAAUAUGUUGAGGCACACAUGGCGGUGAAUAAUGAUGAUGCAACAAAGCAAAUAUUUAGUCGCUGCCUCUUAAACUGUCUACAGAUUCCACUUUGGCGUUGUUACAUCCGCUUUAUCAGGAAAGUCAAUGACAAGCGGGGGAAUGAGGGUCAAGAAGAGACAAGAAAAGCUUUUGAUUUCAUGCUUAACUAUGUUGGAGCGGACAUUGCAUCGGGUCCGGUGUGGAUGGAGUACAUUGCAUUUUUAAGGUCUUUGCCUGCUCAGACCACACAAGAAGAAUCACAACGAAUGACCUCUGUGAGGAAAACGUACCAAAGAGCUAUUGUCACCCCAACCCAUCAUGUGGAACAGCUUUGGAGGGACUAUGAGAAUUUUGAAAAUUCAAUUAGUCGACCCUUGGCUAAGGGACUAAUUUCUGAAUAUCAACCAAAAUAUAACAGUGCGAGGGCUGUAUAUAGAGAAAGGAAGAAGUACAUUGAUGAAAUUGAUUGGAAUAUGCUGGCGAUUCCACCCUCCGGCUCUUCCAAGGAGGAAAUGCAAUGGAUGGCAUGGAAAAAACUUCUAGCCUUUGAGAAAACAAACCCACAGAGGAUAGAUAGUGCUUCUGCUAGUAAAAAAAUUGUGUUCACAUAUGAGCAGUGCCUCAUGUACUUGUAUCAUUAUCCUGACAUAUGGUAUGAAUAUGCCACAUGGCAUGCAAAAACUGGUUCAGUAGACUCUGCUGUGAAGGUUUUCCAGCGAGCUUUGAAAGCACUUCCUGACUCGGAAAUGCUUAGAUAUGCUUACGCUGAACUUGAGGAAUCACGUGGAGCCAUUCAGGCUACUAAAAAAGUAUAUGAAAGUCUUUUGGGGGAUGGAUCCAAUGCCUCAGCACUGUCACAUAUCCAGUUUAUAAGGUUUUUAAGAAGAAGUGAAGGAGUUGAAGCUGCUCGCAAAUACUUUGUUGAUGCACGCAAGUCCCCAAAUUGCACUUACCAUGUUUAUGUGGCUUAUGCAAUGAUGGCCUUCUGUCUUGACAAGGAUGCAAAGAUGGCGCACAAUGUUUUUGAAGCAGGGUUAAAACGCUUUAUGCAUGAGCCUGGAUACAUCCUUGAGUAUGCAGAUUUCCUGUAUCGUUUGAAUGACGAUAGAAACAUCAGGGCAUUAUUUGAACGUGCAUUGAGCUCACUGCCGCCAGAGGAAUCUGUUGAGGUUUGGAAAAAGUUCACUCAAUUUGAGCAAACGUAUGGAGACCUUGCCAGCAUGUUGAAGGUUGAGCAGAGAAGGAAAGAAGCUCUUUCCAGAGCAGGUGAUGAAGGAACAUCAGAGUUAGAGAGUUCGUUGCAUGAUGUUGUAUCACGCUACAGUUUCAUGGAUCUUUGGCCUUGCUCUUCAAAUGACUUGGAUCAUUUAGCACGCCAAGAGUGGCUCGCGAGGAACAUCAAUAAAAAAAGGGACAAACCUACUUUUGGUAUUGAGGCAGGUUCUGCAGACAAGACUUCUUCUGGUGUUUCAUCCAACACAAAUCCGCCUGCCAAGAUAGUGUAUCCAGAUACUUCAAAAAUGACAGUUUAUGACCCGAGGCAAAUGCCAGGUCCUGCUGCGCUUGCAAUUUCAUCUGCUUCAGGCACCUUGCCCUAUUCUUGUCCAUUUAGCAGCGGUGGAUCUCCAAAUUCCCUUAAUGAUAUUUUGAAAUCGUUGCCCCCUGCAUUUGCAGCUUUCAUUGCAAAUUUGCCAGCUGUUGAAGCAACAUUCCUUUAGCAACUGGAAAAUCUGGAACCGCCUCUCUGCCAUUGCAGUCAGGCCCUGCUCCAUCUACAAGUGACGUUUCUGAUUCAAGCAAAUUCAGGCCGAGAGACAGACAGCUUGGAAAGAGGAAAGACAUGGACAGGCAAGGGGAUGAUGAAUCAUCGACUGUACAAAGCCAGCCCCUUCCUAGAGAUGUUUUCAAGAUUCGUCAAUUACAAAAAUCCCGCGUUGGUAAUUCGUCUCGAGUUACUAGUUCAUACACUGGGUCAGCAUCAUACGGAAGUGCGCUUUCAGGAGAAGUCUCGGGCAGCACUGGUUGACCGCAGACUUGUUUCUUAGCUUUCAACUGAACAGCAGAUCCGACACGACUGACAGAUGAGCUGACGUACAUUCCAAAACUCUGCCAUUUGCUUCUGGCAUUCUGUAGUGUACGCUAUUUAUAAAGAUGUAAUAUUAGCAUUUACAUGUCAGUAUAAUUGGGGAGGGGAUCUAAUUUUAAUUUUCAGAUGUUCCAUUCCUUCUGCUGCAACACUAUAAAGAAUAGAUCCUUGUUCAAGAAAACUAUGCAUGCAACAAUGAACGUUGUUCAACCC